GGGAGGGUGGCUCAGUGGUAGAGUGCUUGCCUUGCAUGCAUGAGGCCCUGGGUUCGAUUCCUCAGCCUCACA
rfam:Dipodomys ordii contig_2338, whole genome shotgun sequence.